AGUUCGGACUGGAGUCUGCAACCCGACUCCACGAAGCUGGAUUCGCUAGUAAUCGCGCAUCAGCCACGGCGCGGUGAAUACGUUCCCGGGCCUUGUACACACCGCCCGUCAAGCCAUGGGAGCCGGGGGUACCUGAAGUGCGUAACCGCGAGGAUCGCCCUGGGGUAAAACUGGUGACUGGGGCUAAGUCGUAACAAGGUACC
rnacentral:rRNA from 1 species